GCCAGGUGUGGUGGCACAUGCCUGUAAUCCCAGCUACUCCGGAGGCUGAGGCAGGAGAAUCGCUUGAGCCUGGGAGGUGGAGGUUGCAGUGAGCCGAGACGGUGCCACUGUACUCCAGCCUGGGCAACAGAGUGAGAUUCUGUCUCAA
rnacentral:SRP_RNA from 1 species